UAUAUUGAAUGGCUUGGCCCAAAAUGAACACUCCAUAACGUGAGCUCAAAAGGUGUGGAACAACUAAAUUAAGAUACCAAACAGGGURCCAAGCGAUUUCUUGAUAAAAUCUUCUGAUUCUUGCACUCCAGUUCACCACCAAGUCUUGACUCACACUGCAGCAUCUAUUGAGAAUUAAGUCGAAAGUUGGACAAAACCUCACCUGAAUACAAUGUACCAAGAAAGAGUGCUAUCAGUAAUCCUCGUAUUGAUCAUCGCCUUUAGUAUGCUAUGUAGUGCUGAUAACAAAUGCGAUUUUGGAAGCAGACGAUACGGACGAUUUUGCAAACGAAACCUCAGAAACAAGAGAAGAAAUCAGAUGGCUUUCUCGGGGCCCGAAGAAUAUCGAGGAGGGACGACUGGGUCACGCCUAGGUCUACAAUACCCUCCUGAAGAACUGAAAAGUUCAUAUCUGAGAGACUUGUUCCGAGACGACAACUAGGACUCUACUGACACAUCAAGUAAACACUGAAUCAAACACAGCCAUUAYCCAUCCCCUUCACUAGACGAGACACCGAUCAAAGUUACUGGCAAACACCUUAAAUCAURUGACUCGAUACGUGAUUGAUACCAUAAUGAUUGUUUGUAAAGAUUAAACAAUAAGUAUUUAUAUUGUCUAAAACGAAUUAUAAUGUAAAUUAUACGAAUAAUUUAUUAGAAGUAAAAUUGUCCUAACUAUCAA